GAUGAACGCUGGCGGCGUGCUUAACACAUGCAAGUCGAGCGAAGCAUUUGCAGUUGAUUUCUUCGGAUUGAUUCUGUUUAUGACUGAGCGGCGACGGGUGAGGUACGCGUGGGAACCUGCCUCAUACAGGGGGAUAACAGUUAGAAAUGACUGCUAAUACCGCAUAAGCGCACAGUGCCGCAUGGCGCCGUGUGAAAAACUCCGGUGGUAUGAGAUGGACCCGCGUCUGAUUAGCUGGUUGGUGAGGUAACGGCCCACCAAGGCGACGAUCAGUAGCCGGACUGAGAGGUUGGCCGGCCACAUUGGGACUGAGACACGGCCCAG
rnacentral:rRNA from 1 species